GGAUGCGCUCGGACUGGGAAUCGCGCUCGGCUUUGACUUGUGGUCUGUAGUUGCAAAGCUAACAGAGGCGGAGGCGAAAAUCGUGAAUAUUGGGCAUAGAGGGUGAGAGUCCCGUCCGCCAUGCGCAGUCCUCCGUGUACAGCUUGUGCCAAAGAGUCGCGCUCCUCGGGAGUGGAGUGCAAAGCGGGUGGUAAAUUUCAUCCGAAGCUAAAUACAUGUUCGAGAUCGACAGUGGACAAGUACCAUGAGGGAAAGGUGAAAAGGACUUUGAAAAGAGAGCUAAAAGGACAUGAAUUCGCUGAAAGGGAAGCGAAUGGGAUAGACGCGUUGGGCGAGAUUGCAGCCAUGUUUGCGAGGCCCUCGUUUUGGUACAAACACUGCGGCGGGUUGCAGCAGAUCGUUGUGUCUCUCGUUCAGCAUGCGACCCGUACCGCAUCUUUGAAGACCGUGUGUGCGGAAUCCUUCCCUGGCGGGUGUGCAC
rnacentral:rRNA from 1 species